AUUAUUUAUCUUAUCAAAAUGUAAUAAAAUUUGUGUUUUAUUAUUUUCGAUUUCGAAUCUUGUUUAUUUACUAUAAUAUAAUUGGACAUAUGAAUCAUCAUUUGUAUUCAUUUUUCGCCAUAAAGUUGAUACUAAAACGUUAUGUAAAUAUAAACGUUAUGCAAAAAAUCGAUAUAUUUUUAAUUUAUAUUGUCUUAUUGUCUUAUCUGUAUUUUUAAGUUAAAUUUUAUUCAAAUCAUGUAAAUUCAAACGAUUAUGAAUCAAAAAUCGAGAACUUUUCAAUAUUCCGAGAAAACAGAAGAUUUUUUUUUUUUUUUUUUUUUUUUUUUUUUACUAUCGAAUUCAUAUAUGCUUUCAUAGCAAUGCAAAUACAUUGAAACGCACUUCUUACCAUUCAAUAUGCAUUAAUUAGAUGGUAAGACCGAACCAUGUUCCCCGCGCAAGCGGAAUUCCAGUCUAGUAACCAUACGUACAGUUGUCCGGUGUGAGCUUUAAAACAUUUUCCCAGAGUAUAAUACACGAUCAACUUUUCAACGAGAAUUCAAAAUUUGAGUCCGUAGAAGGUGUUAAUAUAUAUAUAUUUCUUCUUCUUUUUUUUUUUUUUUAUUUUGAAACUUAUUCAGAAAAAAAAUUUUUGUCCCCUUCGAAACAGAUCGAUGCUUAGGUUGUUCCAUUCAAGAAUAAAAUUCGUCGAAUUAAUUUGUUAUUCCACUGGAACUUUAUAUUUUAUAUAUCAUAUUUUUCAUCCUAAAAUCAAGGUUUGACUCGUCGCGUUUUAGCGAUUAUUUUAGCAACCUGGAGAAAUUUUUUCAGAAUGCUUAAUAAUUGACGUUUCAUUCCAAGUAGUCGGAUCCUCGCUAAUGAAGAAAUUAAAUGAAUUCGUCAUUUAUGUAGAAGGAUUUCUUUAUCCCUCAAAAAAAAUUUUAUAUAUGUUAUAACGCUUAAUACAUUUUAGUACGUAUUGUUAGAAUUUAUAAAAACGGUACAAUGGAAAAAAUAUAUGUAUAAGAAAUAAAGCGAGGGAAGGAAAGUGAAGAAAGAAAAAAGGGAGGUAACGAGUGAAUCAGAAGAAGCACACUUGUGGCAGCGAAAUGAACUGGCAUCGGUACACCGAUACGUUGAGUGGGGAUAAGGGUGAACAGUGGUGGCAUGACGACGACACGACACAACGACGACAACGACGACGCGCACAGUGGUGACGGCGUCAGUGACGGUGUGACGGUAACCGGGCAGAGUGGGAUGGAGAGAGGUUCGGUUGCUCCACUGCGAGCAGAGGCGGUGCGCCACUGCGAAGGGUAGGGAGUAGGGGAAGGGCGGCGGUGUGGAAGUUGGGAUGUAGUGUGAGGUGCAGGAGGGACGCGAAGAGUGCGGUCAAGUGUACUGGGUAACUAGGUCAAUGAGAGAACCGAGAGAACGACGUUACUUAUUACAGGAGCACAAGCACAAGCACGCCACUGCGAAAGCUCUCUCUCUCUCUCUCUCUUUUUCUCUUUCUAUCUAUCUUUUCUAACCUCCUCUUUCUUUCUUCUUCUUUGUAUAUAUCUAUUCACUCUCACCGAUAUUCGACAUUCCAUGAUGCAACGGAUUGCGCUGUUCGUUCGAUCGACACAUUUCUUUGUUUUGUCUCUAUCCGUGUUAUUUUUCAUUAAAUAGCCUGUUAUUAUUGAUUCGUUUAAUUUUUUCCGUGUAUAUCUUUGUAAUUAA
rnacentral:lncRNA from 1 species